UGACACUAUAAAUCUGAUUUCUGGUAGUCUAGGAGUCCAUUGCUGCCUCCCUCACACACACUUUUCUUCAGUGUGGAGGCCUAAGGAGUUGUUUCAGCUUCACUAAGUUUGCACGCCUGUGGAUUAUCUGGACAUUCACCUUUUUUGCCACCUAUGCAGAGACUCUUUGCGGGACAAUCAUGUCUGA